rnacentral:misc_RNA from 1 species
GAUGAAGAACGUAGCGAAAUGCGAUAAGUAAUGUGAAUUGCAGAAUUCAGUGAAUCAUCGAAUCUUUGAACGCACAUUGCGCCCGCCAGUAUUCUGGCGGGCAUGCCUGUUCGAGCGUCAUUACAACCCUCAGGCCCCCGGGCCUGGCGUUGGGGAUCGGCGGAAGCCCCCUGCGGGCACAACGCCGUCCCCCAAAUACAGUGGCGGUCCCGCCGCAGCUUCCAUUGCGUAGUAGCUAACACCUCGCAACUGGAGAGCGGCGCGGCCACGCCGUAAAACACCCAACUUUUUAUAGUUGACCUCGAAUCAGGUAGGACUACCCGCUGAACUUAAGCAUAUCAAUAAGCGGAGGA